GACGAACGCUGGCGGCGUGCCUAAUACAUGCAAGUCGAGCGAAGUUUUUCUGGUGCUUGCACUAGAAAAACUUAGCGGCGAACGGGUGAGUAACACGUAAAGAACCUGCCUCAUAGACUGGGACAACUAUUGGAAACGAUAGCUAAUACCGGAUAACAGCAUUAACUGCAUGGUUGAUGUUUAAAAGUUGGUUUUGCUAACACUAUGAGAUGGCUUUGCGGUUCAUUAGCUAGUUGGUGGGGUAAAGGCCUACCAAGGCGACGAUGCAUAGCCGACCUGAGGGGGUUAGUCGGCCAAACUGGAACGAAGACACGGCCCAAACUCCAACGGGAGGCAGCAUAAGGAAAUUUUCCGCAAUGGCGAAAGCCUGACGGAGCAACGCCGCGUGAGUGAAGAAGGAUUUCGGUUCGUAAAGCUCUGUUGUUAGGGAAGAAUGAUUGUGUAGUAACUAUACACAGUAGAGACGGUACCUAACCAGAAAGCCACGGCUAACUACGUG
rnacentral:rRNA from 1 species